UUGCAGCCAUAUCAUGUUGAAAGAUCAGUUCUCAACGGAUCACCAAAGUUAAGCAAUAUCGAGUCUAGUCCGUACCUAGAUGGGUAACUGCUUAGGAAUACCAGGUGCUGUAAG